UAGCGGAGCGUGUGGUUUAAUUCGACGCAACGCGCAGAACCUUACCCAGGCUUGACAUGGAACUGCAUACGGCAGAAAUGCCGUCGCCUUCGAGGGUGUUCCACAGGUGCUGCAUGGCUGUCGUCAGCUCGUGUCGUGAGAUGUUGGGUUAAGUCCCGCAACGAGCGCAACCCUCGCCGGUAGUUAUACGUGUCUACCGGGACUGCCCAGUGGGGAGGAAGGCGGGGACGACGUCAAGUCCGCAUGGCCCCUACGCCCGCGGCGACACACACGCUACAAUGCGACGCACAAUGCGCGGCGAACCCCCGAGGGGGAGCUAAUCGCCAAAGUGUCGCUCAGUCCAGAUCGGGGGCCGCAACUUGCCCCAA
rnacentral:rRNA from 1 species